UAGGGAAUCUUCCGCAAUGGGCGAAAGCUUGACGGAGCAACGCCGCGUGAGUGAUGAAGGUCUUCGGAUCGUAAAACUCUGUUAUUAGGGAAGAACAAAUGUGUAAGUAACUAUGCACGUCUUGACGGUACCUAAUCAGAAAGCCACGGCUAACUACGUGCCAGCAGCCGCGGUAAUACGUAGGUGGCAAGCGUUAUCCGGAAUUAUUGGGCGUAAAGCGCGCGUAGGCGGUUUUUUAAGUCUGAUGUGAAAGCCCACGGCUCAACCGUGGAGGGUCAUUGGAAACUGGAAGACUUAGGUGCAGAAGAGGAAAGUGGAAUUCCAUGUGUAGCGGUGAAAUGCGCAAAGAUAUGGAGGAACACCAGUGGCGAAGGCGACUUUCUGGUCUGUAACUGACGCUGAUGUGCGAAAGCGUGGGGAUCAAACAGG
rnacentral:rRNA from 1 species